ensembl:lncRNA
AUAUAUUUUUAACCAUUGUGAUCUUUACUAAAUAACAGGAUGGUGAAUGUCUGAAUUGUAUUUGUUAACAGGAGCAAUCGAACCAGGGCAACAAGGACUCGAGUGAUCUGGAUGAGAGCAAAGGCUCAGUCUUUGUUCCUUCAGUGAAGGAGUCCACUGAUGAUGAGGACCUUCAUUCAGAAGAGUCCCAGCUUGAAAAGACCAAUCGAAAGACUGUAAAAGACACAAUACUUCAUUCAUCUAAAAAGGUCAAGAAGGCAAAGCAAAAAAGUCCAAGAAAAAUGACAAUCAAAACAAGUCAGCGAGGUCCUGAAGGCAAACGAACGUGGAACAAGAAACAGUACUGUGUCUUCUGUGAAAAGGCACAAGCCAAGAUCGCUAGACAUCUUGAAAGAAGUCAUUCCAGUGAAACAGAAGUUGCUAAAGCCUUGAGUUUUCCCAAAUGUUCAAAGAAACGAAUAAUUCUUCUUGAACAGCUUCGGAACCAGGGAAAGAAAGCUCCAAGGAGGUCAUGGAGCAGUGAAGAGCAGAGCGCUGUGAAGAGUACACUCAGAAUAUGCUUCUCCUUCAGGAAAGUUCCUGGAAAGGCAGAAUGUCAGUCAUGUCUAGAUGCUAAUCCAGUACUGAGCUCAAG